ACUGUUGCACGAACUGUAAGUUGUGCAUGUACUACGAAAGUUAGAUAGCAACUCCAUAAGUUUACAAUGGUAUUAUUUAAUAUAUGUCAUUUAAACCCAGGUUUCGAUAGUGGCAUGUGCACUACAUAUUUCAUAUCAAUAUGGACCAUGGUUGGCGUUGGUCCUUCUCUGCCAUAAAAUUGUGACAUUUUCCCUUCUAAUAAACUGAAGUGCACAUCUUGGACUUAAACAUUCUAAUCAGCGGUGUUCACUUUUGAAAUAUGAAGAACAUUUGUGUAUUUAUUAUUCUCGAUAGCCAAUCUGUGAUAUGUGUGUAGGAAUCCGUCCAAGCUGAUUCAUAGAGCAUCCCGUGUUGGUUUAUAUUUUGUUUUUCCUUUUUUUCGUUGAAUUUUCAAAUGAUUUCUGUGAUAAAACUUGCCAACCUCUGUUAAAGUGAUCACGAUUAAUUGUUUCUCCGUUUUAGAUAGUAGUUUAUCUAUUCAUGUACAUUAUAGUAGUUUUUUGAAGGAAAGAAAGAGAUGCGUGUAUAUUUCAAAAAUAAAAGUUAAUGCUC
rnacentral:sRNA from 1 species